UAUGAUAAUGUGCUGCAGUUCUUCCCCAAGUCAGAGGCGGCGCUAUGGCUGGUAUUGGCUUGGACACCACAUACAGAAGAUGCUUGUCGUUUAUAGAAGUGAUGUCAUGAACCACGUGAUUUUUCUCACUGGUAGGCAAAAGCAACAAUGGGGAGUGUCAACAAAGUGAAUUACUGUAUCAGAAAAUCUCAACAAUGCUCCGAUUAUGCACGAAAGCUACAGUUUGAAGUCCGAAAGCGGUACUUUGAGAAGCUGGGAUAUCCUGACGAUACAUGUAUCUUACCCGAUCCUUACAAUUUGAAGAAUGGAUGGGUUCGCGAUCCGUCUUUGUGGCCGGACAUUACUUUCACCGAUAUAUUUCUACCUCGUCGAUACGUCCGGACAGUUCACUCACAAUAGUUUGAAGGCAUACAAGUCCCUCAAAGCCGAUGAAUACGUAAAAAGUGGACACGUGCAUCCCGUGUUAUGUUUCAACGUAGAGCAGUUGCCGCAUUGUUUUUUUUUAAGACAAAGGUCACCCUUCUCAGCGACUUCGGGACAAACCUCAUCAACCAUGGACGUGCUUAAACAAAUCUGAGGGGACUGUUUACUUUGCACACUGUACAUGUAUGGCAGUGUAAGAUGGUUUAUUUAAAUUUGUUUUUGACUGUGUAUACAUUUAUUAGACGAAAAAUCCAAAAUAUGUUAGAAAUGUGGAUUGAUGACGUUAUUUCAGGAUACCAUCUGCAAUGCCCCUCAUCUGGCAGGGACACAAAAACUUUAUGAUGUAAAAAUUGUUUUAAUUGAAAUGUUGGAUUCAUACCUCAUUGUAUCUUUGACAAGUCUAGGUGAUGUAUGCAGUCAUGUUGCAGCGCUCUUGUUCAAGGUUGAUGCAGCUGUCCGUGCUAGUCUUACAUCAACAGCAUGCACAAGUGAAGCUUUCAAGUGGAAUGCAUCAUACAGAGAAGAGCUCAAUCCAAUACCAAUGACGUUGAUAUCAUGAGAAGUCAAAAGACUGAUAUUUCAACGACAUCAGCAACAGGGAAAGCUCUGCUACCAGACAGGAAUACCCUCCAAUCACUAAGAGAUGUUUGCCCUGAUGCAGUUUUCUUCAAAACCAUUCCUUCACUGGAUGAGGAAGAAAGAGACGCAGGAGAGGAAGAAGAAGAAACAAGGUCCUUCCCACCAACCAUCACAAGUCUGAUAUCUGAGGAAGAUAUCACAGAGGAUAACAUCAAAUCUGUUUAUGAGAAACAGUGGAGUUCUUACAAAUGCACUGAGGAACAAAUUAUUAACCUUGAAAAUGUGACAAAACAUCCAGCUGUAAGCCCCAUUUGGUACGAAUACAGGAAAGGUCGAAUAAGAGGAACUAAGGCUCAUGACAUCUUUGUCAUGAAGGCAACAGUUUACCCAAAGAAUAAUAUUGUGAAGGUAAUGGGAUACAAGAGUUGGGAUAUUUCAAAGAAGGCUGCAGUGGCAUGGGGCACAGAUAACGAGGCACGUGCAAGAAAUCUUUAUUCUAAACAAGCGGCCAAGAGUCAUUUCAAUUUUGAUUGCACAACAAUUGGAUUGUUAAUCUGUCAAACCAGACCCUACAUGGCAGUUUCAUGUGAUGGAAUUGUUUCAUGUACAUGUAGUGGGAAAGGAUGUGUGGAGGUGAAAUGUCCCUACAAACACAGGGAUAGUAAUGUAGGUCAUGCUUCAAAAGACAAUUUAUUUUGUCUCGACAAGGACUUGAAAAAAGGACACAGAUAAUAUACACAAGUGCAAUUUCAAAUGUAUAUCCAGAAAGUAUCUUACUGUGAUCUUGUGGUUUAUACAAACUUAGACAUGGCAAUUGUAAGAAUUCUAUGAGAUGAUACAUUUACAUCAAUUCUUUUGUCAAAAUGUGAUACAUUUUUCUUUGACCAUGUCCUUCCUGAAGUUGUAUCUAGAAAACUUGAGAACAGCAGACCAGAACAUAGAGACAUUAUUCCUGACAAGGAGUUAGUGGAAAAUGUGUGGUGCUUCUGUCAGGAGGAGGAGCAUGGACGUAUGAUCAUGUGUGAUGGUGCUUAUUGUCCAUACACCAGGUUUCACUAUGAGUGUGUAUACAUUAGAAGAAAGCCAAAAGGAUCUUGGUUUUGUCCAAGUUGUGUGAUGGGAUAGCCAGUGUUGCGUACUUGCCAUUACACAAAGAAAAUUAUUGUUUUCUGUUUUCAUUUGCAGUAAUGGACAAUAAAAAUGUACCUAUUUUAUCAUUAAGGUAUGUAAUUGAAUCUGUUGUGUACAGACAUAUCAAACGGAUCUGUUAAACAUUAAAAUAUUAGG